UGGGUUGGGAGGGACCUUCAGCUCACCUCGUUCUAUCCCCUGCCAUGGGCAGGGACACCUUCCACUGUCCCAGAUUGCUCCAAGCCCCAUCCAACCUGGCCUUGGACACUUCCAAGCGUGGGGCAGCCACAUCUUCUCUGGGCAACAAAAUUAAUCUAAACCUUUUACCUGCAGCCACACACUGAUCAGAGGCAGAAGCAGCUGUCUGGAAGAGAUCACAACACACCUGAGAUGAACUUUGCUCAGGCACUGCUGAAAUUCAGGACAGAUUUAGCAUCGUGAGACUCACUUCACCCUUGUGUCAGGACACCAGCGUUUGCAUGAAUCCCGCAAAUAACAAAAAGAUUCCUGAGCCGCAGCCGCUGCCAGAGGAGGGUGCACAGUGAGUUACUGGCCACGGCCCCUGAGCUCCUCGUGCCUCGAGUCAUUUACCCAGAGCACCAGUGACGUUAUCGUGUUCAGCCCAUAUUUACUACAGCUACAAACUGAUUCAGAGAAACCUGGAGUACAGGAUUAAUCAUUACUCUUGGGAUGUUGAAAAUGGAUACCAGAACGGACUUCCAAAUUAGGUAUCUAAAAGUCCUGCAUCUCCCAGGAGAGCCCCAUUACAUCUCCCUACUCCUUCUAAUGGAAUCUAUAGUAUGUGAGCACGGCUUUGCCUCCCACAAGUCCUCCCUGCAUAAUUAUCCCCAGCUCAGAUUGCUGCUUUCUGUAAUGGCUGGAGAACCACUUUCUUCAGGCUACUGAGAUGUAAAGAGGAAAUGUUUAUUGCAAAAUGCAAGUCAACCACAGCCAGUGGGUCUGGGCCAUGGUGGAGGGAUACAGAAAUGGCUUCUUCUUCUUUUUUUGGCCUCAGAAAUAGAACUCACUAAAAAUAGCAGUUCCACAGGAACAAGACUGCCUGAAAAUAGCUGUUUCUCAGGAGCAGGGCUGGCUGCUUCUGAAAGAAGUAGCUAUUAAUGUAUAAUUGUCCCUGAGGCUGGUUUCUGAGAAAAUGCUGUACAUACAGAGGGCUGUAAAGAGAUAUAUUCACAGCAGGGAGCACAGGCACCCCUCUCUUGUCAGAGGUCCAGUGAACUCCAGUAGCUUGUAUCAGUGUAUUUGGUUCACUAAUCAUAGGCACAGUUAGAUCCAUCACAGCCCUGGGAAGUAUUUCCAUCUGUUCUGGUUAAAGCAGCACUUUAAGAUGCUCUUAUUAGUUAGACCAGUAAAUAAGAAAGUCUCCAUCAGCUUUAACCAAAUGUGCACUGGUUCCUCUCCCAGGACUGAGCCAACCUUACAAGCUAGACCCAGCUAUGAAAUCCCAGCACUUUCUUUCCACAGAAGAUCCAAGAACUUUGUUGAAUUGCAGGUUGUGCAAUCUACUUCCAAUUUCCUGCUCUACUCAGCACUUAAGAGUUUUCUUGCGCAGAUGCUACAGGGCAAUAAAUCUUCUGAAGAAUGGCUCUACAUUUCU